UACCACAGCCAUAUAUACAUGCUUGUUAGACUUUGAGCCACACAUUUAUUAUUUACUGCUUAUGAGCAUUGAGUGUGGUCAAGCUGUGUAGACCCUUAGGAGCUUGUCAUGUGGUUAAAUCAAGAUUUCACUUGCACGUUCACUCAUAUAUGCUACUUCUACUCCGGAAGUACCAUCCACAUAUAUCCACCCAUUCCAUCUCCAGAAUCACCUAAAAAUAUUCUACUCCUAAUCCGGGAGAGAAUAACCAAAAAUAUUUUCUGUUUUCCCCUUGUGAAAUAAAUGCUCAAGUUAUCUUGUUACUACCACUUGCUAUAUUAUCUCAAGAGAUGAGUGCUCUAAAAAAAAUAUAAAUACGAGGAAAUAAAAAGGGGCAAGUGCCCGGAACCUCGAAAGAAAGAAAAAGUGAGACGAGAGGUAAAAAUGGACAAGUGUCCGACAGUAGAAUUUGGGGUACAAGAUACCCACUUGAGAGGAAAGAAAAAGAAGAGCAUCUCAUUCUCCUCAUAAAGUUUCAAAAGCAAGGAAGGUAUGUAUCCCCUCAAAAGAGCAAAGUAGAAUUAGACUUCCACCACC
rnacentral:lncRNA from 1 species